CCUACGGGGGGCAGCAGUGAGGAAUAUUGGUCAAUGGACGCAAGUCUGAACCAGCCAAGUAGCGUGCAGGAUGACGGCCCUCCGGGUUGUAAACUGCUUUUAGUUGGGAAUAAAAGGGGGCUCGUGAGCCCUGUAUUGUAUGUACCAUCAGAAAAAGGACCGGCUAAUUCCGUGCCAGCAGCCGCGGUAAUACGGAAGGUCCGGGCGUUAUCCGGAUUUAUUGGGUUUAAAGGGAGCGUAGGCCGGCUUUUAAGUCAGCUGUGAAAGUCCGCGGCUCAACCGUGGAAUUGCAGUUGAAACUGGAGGCCUUGAGUGCACACAGGGAUGCCGGAAUUCAUGGUGUAGCGGUGAAAUGCUUAGAUAUCAUGAAGAACUCCGAUCGCGAAGGCAAGUGUCCGGGGUGCAACUGACGCUGAGGCUCGAAAGUGCGGGUAUCAAA
rnacentral:rRNA from 1 species